GAUGAACGCUAGCUACAGGCUUAACACAUGCAAGUCGAGCGAGCUUGCCUAGAUGAUUUUAGUGCUUGCACUAAAAUGAAACUAGAUACAAGCGAGCGGCGGACGGGUGAGUAACACGUGGGUAACCUGCCCAAGAGACUGGGAUAACACCUGGAAACAGAUGCUAAUACCGGAUAACAACACUAGACGCAUGUCUAGAGUUUGAAAGAUGGUUCUGCUAUCACUCUUGGAUGGACCUGCGGUGCAUUAGCUAGUUGGUAAGGUAACGGCUUACCAAGGCAAUGAUGCAUAGCCGAGUUGAGAGACUGAUCGGCCACAUUGGGACUGAGACACGGCCCAA
rnacentral:rRNA from 1 species